rfam:Oryza sativa Japonica Group DNA, chromosome 12, cultivar: Nipponbare, complete sequence.
GAGUGAUCAUGGUUUGACUUCGACAUAUUCCGGGAAGAAGCCUGCCUAACUGUGAGACCGACUGGUCGAACAAAGACGAAAGUCGGCCAUAGUGAUCCGGGAGUCCCGUGUGGAAUGGCUCUCGCUCAAC